rnacentral:lncRNA from 1 species
UUUUUUUUUUUCGUAGACCAAGUCUUGAUUUUUAUUACUUAAAAAAGUCGCCCAUUUACUUGCUUUCUGACUCUGUGCUUGUGCCUUCAACACUUCACGACGAUUUCCUGCUCCUCAAUAAGGAAAGCCGACUUGAUCCUGUCAUGGACACACUUGGCGCACAUGGAGUCACCAUAGGCCCUGCUGACCUGCUUCUUUGUCUUAGACGAUCUCAGAAGGACUUUGGGUCUCACAGCACGAACCCCUCGCAGUCUGCCUGGGCACACGCCACACGCGGAUUUAGGUGCUUUCCCAACCUUCUGGGUGUAAAGGUAAACGAUCCUGUUGCCAGGGGUUCGAGACAGCCUAGUUUGUUAGAGGCUGUAUUGUAGGAAAGCCUACGACGGUAUGUCAAACGCUGGACCAUCCUGAGUGCCCCUAAGCACCGUCCCCGGAAGAGGAAAAAAAAAGGAAAUAGACUGUUUUUUAAAUUACUGUCACCUUGCCUCCUAUUAUUACUAAGUCCCAA